rfam:Candidatus Wolfebacteria bacterium RIFCSPLOWO2_01_FTLL_47_17b rifcsplowo2_01_scaffold_3565, whole genome shotgun sequence.
AAGUGGUUAAGUAAGGGCGUAUGGUGGAUGCCUUGGCAUUAUGUGGCGAUGAAGGACGUGGCGUAGCUGCGAUAAGCUUCGGGGAGGUGUGUAGCAACCUUUGAUCCGGAGAUGUCCGAAUGGGGAAACCCUGCACGGCAAACCCGUGUAAUCUUAAUCAGUAAUGGUUAAGAAGCGAACCUGCUGAAGUGAAACAUCUCAGUAAGCAGAGGAACAAAGAACGAAUGUAUAUUCCCUAAGUAGCGGCGAGCGAAAUGGGAAGAGCCCAAACCUAUCGAUGCUUCGCAUCGGAAUGACGAAUUUUGAGUUUUGAAUUUUGAAUCAAUUUCGAAAUUCGAAUUUAGAAAUUAGAAAUUCCGCUGCGGAGCAGCGGUUGGGGUUGUAAGAUGUGUACGCUUCUUUGUUUUUCGCUUAGCACGUAGCAAUAUGUGCUGGGCGAUGAACGGAGAGUGGAAGAGUUACAAAUUUUUGCGCUAGCCAAAUCCGCUGGAAAGCGGAACCAGAGAGGGCGAACGUCCCGUAGGCGAAAGCGUGAAAACUCUUUAGUAUGUAUUCUUGAGUACCUCGAGGAAUGAAAGCCUCGUGGGAACCAUCCCAGACUAUUGGGAAAGGCUAAAUACACAUAAUGACCGAUAGUGAACAAGUACCGUGAGGGAAAGGUGAAAAGCAGGCCGGCGAGGCCGAUGAAAUAGAACCUGAAACCAUAUGUCUACAAGGAACGGAAGCGCGAAGUACGGAGCUUGCUUCGUGCCGCGCAACCGUGUGCCUAUUGAAGAAUGAACCAACGAGUUGAUGUAUAUCGCAGUCUAAGCUCUACGGAGCGCAGGCGCAGCGAAAGCGAGUCUUAAAAGGGCGAUCCGCCAACCGGCGGAAUAUGCGGUAUGUAUCAGACCCGAAGCCAGGUGAGCUUGCCUUGGGCAGGAUGAAGCCUCGCGAAAGCGAGGUGGAGGUCCGAACCGGUUGGUUGUGCAAAACCUUCGGAUGACCUGAGGUAAGGAGUGAAAAGCUAAUCGAACCUGGUAAUAGCUGGUUCUCUCCGAAACAGUUUUAGGACUGGCGUCUACGAAAAACUAUACAGGGGUAGAGCAACUGGUAGAGAAGUAAAGGGGGAAACCUCGCCUUUUCUGUCAAACUCCGAAUACUGUGUAGAUCGCGUAGGCAGUUAGAACGUGGGGGCUAAGCUCCAUGUUCGCAAGGGAAACAGCCCAGAUCGUCGUCUAAGGUCCCUAAAUCUAUGCUCAGUGUAAAAGGUUGUGAUGUGCCAGAGACAGGUAGGAGGUUGGCUUAGAGGUAGCCAUCCUUUAAAGAGUGUGUAACAACUCACUACUAGAUGGCAGAUUGUGCCGAAAAUUUACCGGGGCUCAAGCAUAGUACCGAAGACACGGAUUCUCCCGACUUGUCGGGAGAGUGGUAGGAGAGCAUUCCACGUGCGCUGAAGGUCCAGACGUGAGUCGGACUGGAGCGCGUGGAAGAGAGAAUGUUGGUAUGAGUAACCACAAUGCCGGUGUGAAUCCGGCACCCCGAAAAUCCAAGGUUUCCUCCGCAAUGGAAUUCAGCGGAGGGUUAGGCGGUCCUAAGGCGAUGGCGAAAGCCGCAGCUGAUGGACAGCAGGUUAAUAUUCCUGCCCGCCUGUCGUAUUCGAAGGAGGGACGGGGCGCAGUAUGCAGAGCAUCUUAAUGGCUUGGUGUCCUGUACUGAGGAUGUCCGACUGGUAAAUCCACCGGACUGCCUUUAAUGGCGAAUCCAAGGGACCAGGCGACUUCGGCUUCGGCCGGGGUAGUUUGCAAAGCGCGCCCAUGAAAAAAUCUUCUAAGGUUAAUGCGAUAGGCUCCGUACCGUAAACCGACACUGGUGGGUGAGGCGAGAAGCCUCAGGGGAACGAGUGAUUCAUCCUUAAGGAACUCGGCAAAAAAGCGACUGUAACUUCGGAAUAAAGUCUGCCCAACGCAAGUUGGGCCGCAGCGAAAGUCUCUCGGGUGACUGUUUACUAAAGACACAGCUCCCUGCAAACUCGUAAGAGGAGGUAUAGGGGGUGACGCCUGACCGAUGCGAGAAGGUUAACGGUGGCGGUGACGGCCGCAAGGUCUUUGCUGACUGCCCGAAGCCCUCGUCAAUGUCAGCGGUAACUAUAACCGUUCUAAGGUAGCGCAAUUCCUUUCCGGGUAAGUUCCGGAGCGCACGAAUGGCGUAACGACCUGAGAACUGUCUCAAGGAUGAGCUCGGUGAAAAUGCGAUUCCCGUGAAGACGCGGGAUACCUGCAGCGGGACGAAAAGACCCCAGGAGCUUUACUGCAGCUUGGUAUUGGCAGUAGAAUUUUGAUACGUAGCAUAGUGGGGAGACUUUGAAGCGUUCCUUUCGGGAGAUGUGGAGUCGCCAGUGAAAUACCCAUUUUCAUUGUUUUAUUGUCUAACCUCGACGGCAAAAACGGCGGGGAACAGUGCCUGGCGGGCAGUUUUAAUGGGGCGUUAUCCUUAAUUGUGGUUGGCGGAAGUUACUUCGGUCCCCAUCCGAUCGCCAAUCAAGGGGGGAUAUAAUUUGGCUAUAUGCUGGAACACCUGCCAAAUUCCGCGGUACGCGUAAGCGUAAAAAUCUGCGGACUAUGCAGGCAAUCAGCAGGCAACCUCCGACGUUAUAUCGGAGAGAGUCCUCAACGACUAUACGCCAAACCUGCUUUUUCGAAAAAAGCAGUGAAGAUAUAGUCUGAUCUCUAUGGCGACAUAGAGUCCUUAUUAUUAAAAUAAGGAAUCUAACAUGAACACAAAAGAAGUGCGUGAAUAUAAGAGCAAUCUUAAGCUCACGAAAGAACAGCGGGAAGUAUUGGUCGGUCUUUUAUUGGGUGACGGACACUUGGAAACACAGGACAACGGCAGAACAUAUCGACUGAAAGUGGAACAUAGUAUUUCUCAGAAGGAAUACGUUGAUUCACUGUAUGAGUUGUUUCAAGAAUGGUGUCCACAUGGCCCAACACGGCGAAAACGGCACAUACAAUUUGGAACCAUAACAAGUUAUGGAUUUUAUUCAUAUUCUUCGGGAUCGUUCCGAUUUUAUGCCCAGCAAUUUUACCAAGACAGAAGGCGAGUUAUUCCUUCAAUUAUAAGAAAAUUGCUUACACCAAGAUCGAUUGCGGUAUGGUUUAUGGACGAUGGAUCAAAAAAAUCAAAAGUCCAUAACACAUAUAUAAUUCACACACACGCGUUCACAAAACGUGAAUUAAAAAUAAUGUGUGAAACACUUAAGAAGAAGUUUGGCAUAGAUGCCCAUAUACAUAGGCAGUACAGCGUAUAUCGGCUGUAUAUUAUGGCUCAAUCAGCGCGGAAAUUCCGAGGAUUAGUUGAACCGUAUAUAAUACCGUCUAUGCAAUAUAAGUUAGAGAACACAAGCCCAAAAAGUAACGGAGGAGUUUAAAGGUCAGCUUAGUCCGGAUGGAAAUCGGACCGAAUGUGUAAAGGCACAAGCUGGCUUAACGGCGAGACCGACGCGUCGAGCCGAUGCGAAAGCAGAACUUAGUGACCCGACGGUAAUGAUACGAAUUGUUUUUAAUAGUUUGUAUCUCUUCAUAGGAAGGCCGGAGACAACGGAUAAAAGCUACCCUGGGGAUAACAGGCUGGUGUGGCCCGAGAGUUCAUAUCGACGGCCACGCUCGGCACCUCGAUGUCGGCUCAUCAUAGCGCGGGGCUGGAGAAGGUCCCAAGCGUUUGGCUGUUCGCCAAUUAAAAUGAUACGCGAGCUGGGUUUAGACCGUUUAUGCGCGAAUGCAGAUUGGCGCAUCAACAGUCUAAAUCCCACGAGGAAAGUCAAAAAGAGUAAAUCGAUCCAACAUAUCACGGCGGUCAUACGAAAAAUUCGUAUUGAAGAAGCUAACUCAUAUCGGUGAAAUCCUUCACGGACAACACCGAGGGAAUUCCGAUUUUACGUCGGAACCCGUAGAGACUACAUGUUAGCCGCCCGAAAGGGCGAAGGUAUAGUCCAAUGCACAUAGUAAUAUGUGGAAACAUGCGUGAGACAGGUUGGUCUCUAUCUGCUGCAGGCGUAGAUACUUGAGGGAGGUUGAUCCUAGUACGAGAGGACCGGAUUGAAUGAACCUCUGGUCUACCAGCUUUGGUGCCAACUGAAGCGCUGGGUAGCUAUGUUCAGUCGGGAUAAGUGCUGAAAGCAUCUAAGCACGAAGCCCAUCCCAAGAUGAGGUAUCGUAGGGUGGUCGAAGAUGACGACCUUGAUAGGCUCUAGGUGUACGCAUAGCAAUAUGUUUAGCCGAGGAGUACUAAUAACCCAUACAACUAUUUUU